rnacentral:rRNA from 1 species
UACGAAGGGGGCUAGCGUUGCUCGGAUUGACUGGGCGUAAAGGGCGCGUAGGCGGUUCGUACAGUCAGACGUGAAAUUCCUGGGCUCAACCUGGGGGCUGCGUUUGAUACGUGCGGACUUGAGUGCGGAAGGGGGUCGUGGAAUUCCCAGUGUAGAGGUGAAAUUCGUAGAUAUUGGGAAGAACACCGGUGGCGAAGGCGGCGACCUGGUCCGAUACUGACGCUGAGGCGCGAAAGCGUGGGGAGCAAACAGG